rnacentral:rRNA from 1 species
CCUGGCUUAGGAUGAACGCUAGCUACAGGCUAACACAUGCAAGUCGAGGGGCAGCAUUGGGAUAGCUUGCUAUUCAGAUGGCGACCGGCGCACGGGUGAGUAACGCGUAUCCAACCUUCCUGCCAGUAGGGAACAGCCCGGCGAAAGUCGGAUUAAUGCCCUAUGUUCUUCAAUGCGGACAUCUAAGUUGAAGGAAAGAUUCAUCGCUGGCAGAUGGGGAUGCGUCCGAUUAGCUUGCCGGCGGGGUAACGGCCCACCGGGGCGACGAUCGGUAGGGGUUCUGAGAGGAAGGUCCCCCACACUGGUACUGAGACACGGACCAGACUCCUACGGGAGGCAGCAGUGAGGAAUAUUGGUCAAUGGGCGUAAGCCUGAACCAGCCAAGUAGCGUGCCAGGAUGACGGCCCUACGGGUUGUAAACUGCUUUUAUGCGGGGAUAAAGUGCGGCACGUGUGCCGCUUUGCAGGUACCGCAUGAAUAAGGACCGGCUAAUUCCGUGCCAGCCGCCGC